AUAGCCACCGCAGCCCCCCGCCUCCUGCCCACCGCGCUGGGGGCGCCCCUGUCCCCGCCGGCGCCCCAGGGCGCGCGGACUGCCGGCCUCCUAGCAACAGCCCCCGAGACAGCCUUCGGCGUUGGCGAUGCAGAGCCGCCCUCCGGGAGCCCCGCGACCCCCAGACCCGCCUCGGCAGCCGAGGUGCGGGGGAGACCGCGACCCUCACAGCCGGUGCCCCAGCCCGGGGCGCGAAGCCACUCACCUCUGCGCGCCGCCGGACCCGCGCGCCUCCCGCACUUGGCGCCGGGCCGUGGUCCUCGCGUCCUCCCUCGCCGCCGCCGCCGCGGUCCGUCCGUCCCUGUGCGCCCGAGCAGCGCGGGCCGCGCGCUGUCAGAGUCUCGUGGCGGGGCUGCGCCGGCGGGUGUGGAGCCGAGCGGCGGCGGCGGGCGGGCGGGCAGCUCCUCCCUCCCCGCGCCUCCGCCCUCCUCGCGCCCCGCCUCCCGCGCCGCGGCUGUCAGCCCCGCGCCCCGCGCCCUGCGCCCGCGCUGCCCGCGCCACCGGCUCCGGGGGCGCACUGGGCUAAAGGGCCCGGAUGUCUGCGGUCGCCUCUCCCUCGCGCCCGCCCCCUCCUCGGCGCCCCCCUCCCCGCCCUGCCACACAUGCACUUGCUGCGUCUCAACCUCCUCCUCGGCUGCGUUUAAUUUCUAUUCUGACAGUAACUGUGGCGGGGGGCGGCGCUGCAGGGGGCGCCCGGGACCGGCAGAGGCGGCGGGCGGCAGUCAGGACCCGGCGCGGGGGCGGAGUGGGGGGCCGGGCAGAGCCACCAUCCACUCGGGGCUCCGCAUCUUUUUUCUUUCUUUCCUUUUUUCUCUUUGCCUCCUCCAGGAUUUAAAGGGACAGCCCCGGCCGAGGCGAAGGGCCAGGCGGCCGCUGUUUCUCCGGUCUCCAGACGCCCUCUGCGGCCCGGCCGGACCCGCCCGCACCCGGAGCACAGGCUCCCGACAGCCGGGUAUUUUUAGGUCCACACCCGGCACGGGGCAGCGGGGCGGCAGAGCUUGGCUCGGUUGCCCCGGCGCACGGCUAUUUUUACAAAGUCCGAUUGGGGGAGGAAAUAAAACAACUCAGCAAGUGCUUCCCCAGCCGAAAGUAGGGAGCAAGGAGUGGGCGCGAGAAGUUUCCCAAAUGCUCUCGGAAUUCCAGAGAGCUCAGAAAGACACCUCUCCAACACGAGAGACCACAGGCUUGCAGCGCUCCAGGGUGCCCGAAUCCCGGCGGGCAAUCCCGCCCUAG
rnacentral:lncRNA from 1 species